UACAGAGGAUGCAAGCGUUAUCCGGAAUGAUUGGGCGUAAAGCGUCUGUAGGUGGCUUUUUAAGUCCGCCGUCAAAUCCCAGGGCUCAACCCUGGACAGGCGGUGGAAACUACCAAGCUGGAGUACGGUAGGGGCAGAGGGAAUUUCCGGUGGAGCGGUGAAAUGCGCAGAUAUCAGGAGGAACACCGGUGGCGAAGGCGCCACUCUGGGCCGGUACUGACGCUGAGGAGCGAAAGCGUGGGUAGCAAACAGG
rnacentral:rRNA from 1 species